CAACUCUUGACAUGUCCCGUAUGGGUUCCAGAUAUAGGCUCUUUCAGUUCGGCUGGCGGGAACACAGGUGCUGCAUGGCUGUCGUCAGCUCGUGUCGUGAGAUGUUGGGUUAAGUCCCGCAACGAGCGCAACCCUCACCUUUAGUUGCCAUCAUUUAGUUGGGCACUCUAAGGAGACUGCCGGUGAUAAGCCGCAGGAAGGCGGGGAUGACGUCAAGUCCUCAUGGCCCUUAUGGGUUGGGCUACACACGUGCUACAAUGGCGGUGACAAUGGGACGCAAUGAGCAAUCCUGCGCAAAUCUCAAAAAGCCGUCUCAGUUCGGAUUGGGCUCUGCAACUCGAGCCCAUGAAGUUGGAAUCGCCAGUAAUCGCAGAUCAGCACGCUGCGGUGAAUACGUUCCC
rnacentral:rRNA from 1 species